AAUAUCACCUCAUUUAUGGAAGGUGAUUGCGCUUCCCAUCCAUUGUGUGUGGAGGCAGUCAAGACCAUUGAAGCGCUCAUUGCCUCGCCCAAGUGACCGUAACAUCAUCACAUAAUAAACUAUGCCACAGAAGUUGGAUAGAACUAAUGUCAAAACCUACGUCUCCAAUGAUGGUUC